CGAACCGAGCGAACGUUGUUCGGAUUUACUGGGCGUAAAGGGCGCGUAGGCGGUCAGCACAAGUCAGUUGUGAAAUCUCCGGGCUUAACUCGGAAAGGUCAACUGAUACUGUGCGACUAGAGUGCGGAAGGGGCAACUGGAAUUCUCGGUGUAGCGGUGAAAUGCGUAGAUAUCGAGAGGAACACCUGCGGCGAAGGCGGGUUGCUGGGCCGACACUGACGCUGAUGCGCGAAAGCCAGGGGAGCGAACGGGAUUAGAUACCCCGGUAGUCCUGGCCUUAAACGAUGGAUGCUUGGUGUCUGGAGUUUUAUAGUCUCCGGGUGCCGUAGCUAACGCGUUAAGCAUCCCGCCGUGGGGAGUACGGUCGCAAGACUG
rnacentral:rRNA from 1 species